UUCUCUUGUCCUUCAUUCCACCGGAGUCUGUCUCAUGCCAACCAGAUUUCAGUGGAGUGAAGCUCAGGAGGCA
rfam:Ictidomys tridecemlineatus contig058081, whole genome shotgun sequence.